AGAGCGCAGGGAUUUUUGGCUUCUGGCUGCCUCCUGAUAGGAAACUUUCUUAGUCCUUUAUCACAUCUUUGGGAAAGGAGCUGAACUUACUGUUUAAACUUUUCAGGGAAGACUUUUAUGGAGUUGGAUACAGAGAAAUCAGUUUUCAAAGAUUUUUUCCCCCUUUUCAUACUUAACUCACUAAUCAUAAUUUUUCCUUUUCCGGUCCUUGUUUAUCAUCUCCGGUGCCAAAAAUCAGCCCGUUCUGGGCGGCUGGCCUGUUGCCAGAAGCCCUGGACUCGCACUGCUGCCGUGCCCCAGUCUCCGGGCACCUGUGGGACUGCUGCAGGGUCCCCAGGGCUGCCUUCCUGCUCUUUGUGUUUAACUCCAGGCCGGGCGGGACCAGAUAGGUCUCUCUGGUAGCCACCGCCCUGCUCUGCCUCAGGAAUUCCCUGAUAACGAGUGCUCUCACCACAGCCUCUGACCUCAUGUGUAAAUGUUGGGUUUUGUGUAAGCCCGUUUCUAUUGGCUCUGCCGUUGUCCACUGUGUUUUCUUUCCUCCUGCUGGUCCGCCCCUGCCUCCCGCGGGUGCUGGCUGUGGGGGCUGGGUGCUUUGCCGAGUGCAGAGUCGGCUGUCUUGCAGGGACAGCCCCCUCCUGUCCAUAGGGACAGUCAGUGUGCAGGGCCCGGCGUCCGAUCCGGGACAUGAGGUCAAAACCGGGAUGGCACUAAAUUUUCCUGCACAGAGAUGUGGCCCGAUGGAGACACCACUGGGACCAGGAGCCCGCCUGUGUCGAAUUCAGCCCUUGUCCCCUCCGCACAUCAGCCCCUUCUUCAAGAGAAACAGCUGUUGAGCUGCGACAGCAGCAGAUGCCCAGGUGUGAGGAGACCACAGGGCCAGCUCUCAGGUACCUAGAUGACAUCGUCUGCUGUGGAUGCUUUUUACAAAUGACGACACCCUUUUUCUUAUAUGGGUCACCUGCACCUCCUCCAUCUCCACCUGCGAUGUGAAGACCCAGCAGAGGAUGUGGGAGGGCUGGGGGUGGAGGGCGCAGGAAGGAAGCAGGACCGGCCGGGACUCCUGCCUGCUGAGGUGCAGGUGCAUUCCGAGUGGGCGAGAGGCAGGCAGGUGCUGCUCUCGGCCGGGACCCACCCACAGAGUCAGGGCUGCCAGUGGAUUAUCCCUUUGUCACCGCAGUGCUGCAAGUGUUGACAGUGUUCUAAGACAAGAUGUCCUAGUAUUUAAAAAUUUUUUCACUUUAUUGAAAAGUUACCUGUUAAGUUAAUAUGUGACAUGGUGACUGAAAAGCGCAAAUCCGAAUCACAGGGCCUGGAGCUCGCGUUCAGGGGCAGCAGGCAUCCUUUGGCCACGCUGGGAGCUCCCACGGAGGCCUCGCUGUUGGAGACGGUCUUUGUUCCCCCGAGGGUUUGACUGCAGCCGAACAGAAGAAUCCUGCUAUAAAUAGCAAGGCCCCUGCCCGCUCCCGGCCGUGUAGCCGUGGUGCCACAGCCUGCUGCCCCGCGGACUUGCGCCGGAGCACCUUCCCUUUCUGCUGGGACACAAUGUCCCUAGAAAUCAAUACAUUCUUAUUUUUAGUUCAAUAGUUGUGCCUCGAGAGAGCAGGUGGCCAGGAGUUUCCAUCAUGAAAGCUGGUUGCAUUUAUGUGAGAGGCGGAUUGCCUGACUUUUUAAAAAUAGCAUUUUCCUCAAAAGAGCAGUCUUGCUUUUUAUACUUGGAGCUGACCGUCUAUUUUUUGCUGCCUUUGUUUCUCGUUGGGGCUUGGCCCUGGCCUGCUGCCUGCUCCACAGCCUCUUGGAAAGGGAAGAGAGGCCAGCCGAUCAGCAAAGAUCUUUCCACUGGGAGGGGGUCCCUGUUGUUCACACCUGAUUUUUGUUUUUGCUUUUUUGUGGGGGAGGGACACAGACAGAGGAGGGCUAUCGGAGCCACUGUGCCUUGCCCACGGGCACCCAGCCUGCCCUGUGCGUUGUGCUGGGGAAGCCCCAGCGUCCCGGCCAUGGCCCAGGGAUGUCGCCCGGCGGCCAGGGAGUUAGUGUCUUUCUGCUACAGGAAGCCGUCUCCUCUUGUGGAGAGUGACUCUUCAGGAGAUGCCAGGUGCUUCCUCUCCCAUCCACCUUGUCACAUGGCUUAGGGUUGGGCUGCUCUCUCCCUCCUUCCCUCACCGUCCUCUGUAAAUAAAACUGGCCAAACACUAAAUGUCACUGGUCACCCUUAUGCCCAGUGUCCCUGGCAGAAAUAAGGCGUCCGCUUUAUUUGCUGCAAAUUAAAAUUUUCUUUAUUCUGCUAUAUUAUAUCCGUAAGAAGCAGGAGUGCCACAUCUGUUUUUCUGGUUUCUUUAGCAAUUGUGGGGUUUUCACUGGCCUCCACAUGCACUAAUGUGGCUAUUUUGACGUUUGUCUGUGAUAAACAGAAACGACAUAAUUAGAGGUCGGGUCCGGACCUGGGUUUUUUGUUUAUUUUGGUGUCUGUGGAAACUUACCGCAUUUGGUCACCGUGGGUUUAAUGAUGAGAGUUUUAAGUACCCUUUCAAUUAUCUGUGUUUCCCCCAGUCUCUGCGUGUCAGUGGAGCGUAAAUAGACGUCUCAUUGCUGGGCUGAUGAUCUAACAGUAUCCUCAGUGGUCAGAUAAUAAAUGGUGUAACUAAUGGUGUGAGAUAUCAUACCUUCUCGUUCAUUCACUGAGGUAGAAAUUGCAGUUCUGAAGGACAGAGUCUCCCCAGUUUGUACUGGAAACUCAAAGGCACACAGUGAGAGGGUGGUGUCCCUCAGGGGCACGUACCCCUGCGGGGUUGCGGGUGACCGCCAGUGGGUCAUGUAACGAACACGAAGUAGGAAUUCAUGGUAGUGUCUCUUCUCAGAGAGCAGCUUUUAUUCUUGCAGGUGCUUCAGAGUUCAGACUAGCUUGCGAUGAAUUGGUAUCACCACAACAUCCAAGGCUGUGAUCUCAGAAUUGUUUGUGUUAUGUUAAUCUCACAAUCUUAUAAUUAGUUUAUACUUAGAACAUUAGCGUGUGCUUUUCUUUAAGGAAAAAGAGAAAACAGACACUUUAGUAACUUCAUUGCCCUCACAAGGCCCUCUCCACAUUCCGAAAUUGUCAUCCUCGUUGCACCUAAAGGCUGGACAACUGACCGUUUCUCUGAAUGUGUGCCCAGGGCAGAAGAGGGGGAAGCUGGGAACUUCCUCGGCGAGUGCAACGGGGAAACCGAGACAGAAAGCUGAACACACUGGCUGGACGAUUGACAGCCAGAUACAGAAGGUCACAGGGCAGAGCCCCGGGUGCCCAGCAACGGGGAAAACUGGGAAAAUGAGGACCUCACCCCCAGGGCGGCCUUUCCUCCCCCCGACCCAUCACAUUGCUGGUUGUGUGGUUAGGCCUCCCUGGCCUUUGCUCCCUGGUGAUGACAUCCAGGCCUCACUGGAGUUUCGGCUCCAGGCCCAGAAAAGCAGCAGAACCAGGUGGGUGACCCCAGGAGCAGCCGCAGUGACUGAAGACUCCCUGGACUCGGUGCUGGCAGACCGGUGGGGACCAGGACCCGGACAGGGCGCACCUGGAAAGCUGAUGACUAUUCUCAUGACAUCCUCCCCUGAGAUCUCCCAAGAUUCAUGCCUGGGAGAGAGAGAGAGAGACCCUCAAGAUGAAGGACCCAGGACGUGCUCUCCCUCUGGGGACGUGCCCACGCCUUCCCUCUCUGGCUGCGUUUCCCAGACUCUGAGUGUCCUCACGGGACUUGCAACCAGGGAGCAGUGGGCAGCAGCCGCUUGUCCCGGACCAGCCCCUGCCCCUGCCCCCAAGGACCCCUUUUCUCUGAGUUUUCGGUGAGCCAAAGCAGCCCCGCCCAGGUCCUCUCCCAUUGCUGCUUCUGCCCGAAACAGUUUUGUUAGACUGUAUGGUGACAGCUGUCAUAUCAGCGUGCAUAAAAAAAAACUUAUCAAAACUGGUGAAUUUAUGUGUGGCCAUUUUAAUAUUGACAAUCAAAAUAGGCAACAUUUUUGGCAUAUUAUGCUUUAUUAUUUCAAGAAAUGUAAAAAUGAAACCGAAACACAAAAAAAGAUUUGUGCAGUGUGUGGAGAAGGUACUAUGACUGAUCGAACAUGUCAGAGGUGGUUUGUGAAGUUUCUCGGUCCUGUUGACAUUUUGCCCAAAUAAUUCUCUGCUGUGGGGCUGUCUUAUGCAUUGGAAGGUGUUUAGCAGCACCCCUGGCCUCUACCCACUGGAAGCCAAUAGUGAGAGAGAGCUGACAGACUCAAAACAUCCAAAUCAAUAAAGUUAUUGGUGAACAUGAAAAUGUCUUUUAUUUUACAGAAAAAACUUAAUGGACUUUUUGGCCAACCCAAUACCAUCCCAACUUCUUCUAUGAAAUCUCUCCCGAUUCCGUCAAUUAAAUAAAAAGCCCUUUGCCCUACUGGUAUGAUCAUUACUUCCCCUCAGAGUGCCUGUAUUUGUCUGUUAGGUUACAACAAAGUGUCCGUUCCAGAGGCCCAGGUCCAAGAUCCCGGUUUUGGCAGGUCGGCUUUCUCCCAGGCCUCUCUCUCUGACUUGCAGGCUUCUCUCUGUGUCCUGAGGUGGCUUAUUCUCUGGGGACACACCUCCCUGGUAGCUCCUCCUCUUCUUAGGAGGACACCAGUCCAACUGGAUUAGGGCCCCCCCCCAUGAGUUCAUUUAACUGUAAUUACUUCUUUGACUGUCCUAUCUCCAAAUACAAUCACAUUCUAAAGUACCAAACUGCAAUAUGAAAUUUUUUUUUGGGGGGGGUACACAAUUUAUUCUAAAACAUUGCUAUCAGGGUACCUUAAUGUCUUCUCUUCCCCUCAUUAGCUUGUGAAGUGUUUGAAGGCAGAUCCUGGUACAAACGGACUUAUCGGGUCUUAGAAUAUUGCCUCAUACAUAAUAAAUAGUCAGUAAAUAUCUGUGGAAUGUAAUUAUAAUUUAAUUAGCUCUUCAGAAAUUUAGUGUAGCUAUUAGACUUUUAUGGAAAUGAUCUAUGGUGAAAACAUGGUACUUAAACUUUCUUUAUGGAUUUGGCCAAAUGCUGCCAAGUAAUUUACAUAAGACAAGAUGUUGCCCAGAAUAACGUUCUCCUUCCUUUUUUUUCCCUUCAGACAUAAGGCAUAUGAGCUCAUUGUUCCUUUGCAUACACAUUCCCUUUCAUUCUGAAAAACUCAAGGGGAGGCAGAAGUCAGGGCAGACCUUGAUGCAUUUGCCUUUCACGUGCACACAGGGAUCCCCACUGCCAUGGGUGGCCAUUCGUUCCCUUCUCCGAGUUCAGGUGACAAGUGGUGGACAGCCCCGGGGUUUCACAAAGCCCGUUCCUUUAGCUGUGUGGUGACAGCAGUGGUCGUUUCAGGGAGCCAUGCUGCUCAAGUGAUCCUUGGGACUCCCUGAAGUCAUCAUCGGCCAGGUUAGGACAUUGGUAACUCCCUUUGUGAGACGGUGCGAGCACCCUUGGGUGCUCCGUACACGCCUGCGUGUCAGACAGAGCAGGGUCUCCGCGCCAUCCAGGAAAGGUCCUGUGCAGCCCGCGGCCUCCUCUGUGCCCACCUCUGUGCACGCGUCCUUCGGGAAGCUCUGCUAAACGCCCCAGCGUCGUCACCAAGGCCCCGCCUGCUGUCUGCCAGUCUGACCUUCCCCACACCGAGCGUUGUCCUUAGCACUUUGGGAUCUUGGUCUCUGGAAGCAGAUCAGUGUGUCCCCUCAACCUUUGGGCCAAAUGGCUUUGAUCAGAAGCCUGCCUAAGAGAAAAGGACAUCAGGCGUGUCUGAAGGCCCCGUACCGCCUCCCACCUGGAGGUGCCAGGCUCUCUCGCGUCCCAUCCAGACCUUCCAGAGCUGUGCUCCAAGGUCUCCUGUUCCCCUGCUGAGGGCCCUCACGUGUCUUAGUGCAAUCAGGUGGUUGCAAUGGAUGCCCCAGACUGGGCAGCUCCCCAGCAAUUGCCAUUUACGGCCGAAGGUUCUGGAGGGUGGGAGGUCUGAGAUGAGGAGGACACGGCAGGGUCAAGGUCUGGUGAGGGCCUUCGUCGGGUUCAUGGACUGCUGUCUUCUCUUGGGUUCUCACCAGAAGGAGGGGCGGGCACUUUCCUAGGCAUCUGCUGUGAGGGCUCUGCUCUCACGACCUAAUCACAUCCUGAUACCGUGACCUUGGGC